GGGUUGUGAGGUUAAGCGACUAAGCGUACACGGUGGAUGCCCUGGCAGUCAGAGGCGAUGAAGGACGUGCUAAUCUGCGAUAAGCGUCGGUAAGGUGAUAUGAACCGUUAUAACCGGCGAUUUCCGAAUGGGGAAACCCAGUGUGAUUCGUCACACUAUCAUUAACUGAAUCCAUAGGUUAAUGAGGCGAACCGGGGGAACUGAAACAUCUAAGUACCCCGAGGAAAAGAAAUCAACCGAGAUUCCCCCAGUAGCGGCGAGCGAACGGGGAGCAGCCCAGAGCCUGAAUCAGUGUGUGUGUUAGUGGAAGCGUCUGGAAAGGCGCGCGAUACAGGGUGACAGCCCCGUACACAAAAAUGCACAUGCUGUGAGCUCGAUGAGUAGGGCGGGACACGUGGUAUCCUGUCUGAAUAUGGGGGGACCAUCCUCCAAGGCUAAAUACUCCUGACUGACCGAUAGUGAACCAGUACCGUGAGGGAAAGGCGAAAAGAACCCCGGCGAGGGGAGUGAAAAAGAACCUGAAACCGUGUACGUACAAGCAGUGGGAGCACGCUUAGGCGUGUGACUGCGUACCUUUUGUAUAAUGGGUCAGCGACUUAUAUUCUGUAGCAAGGUUAACCGAAUAGGGGAGCCGAAGGGAAACCGAGUCUUAACUGGGCGUUAAGUUGCAGGGUAUAGACCCGAAACCCGGUGAUCUAGCCAUGGGCAGGUUGAAGGUUGGGUAACACUAACUGGAGGACCGAACCGACUAAUGUUGAAAAAUUAGCGGAUGACUUGUGGCUGGGGGUGAAAGGCCAAUCAAACCGGGAGAUAGCUGGUUCUCCCCGAAAGCUAUUUAGGUAGCGCCUCGUGAAUUCAUCUCCGGGGGUAGAGCACUGUUUCGGCAAGGGGGUCAUCCCGACUUACCAACCCGAUGCAAACUACGAAUACCGGAGAAUGUUAUCACGGGAGACACACGGCGGGUGCUAACGUCCGUCGUGAAGAGGGAAACAACCCAGACCGCCAGCUAAGGUCCCAAAGUCAUGGUUAAGUGGGAAACGAUGUGGGAAGGCCCAGACAGCCAGGAUGUUGGCUUAGAAGCAGCCAUCAUUUAAAGAAAGCGUAAUAGCUCACUGGUCGAGUCGGCCUGCGCGGAAGAUGUAACGGGGCUAAACCAUGCACCGAAGCUGCGGCAGCGACGCUUAUGCGUUGUUGGGUAGGGGAGCGUUCUGUAAGCCUGCGAAGGUGUGCUGUGAGGCAUGCUGGAGGUAUCAGAAGUGCGAAUGCUGACAUAAGUAACGAUAAAGCGGGUGAAAAGCCCGCUCGCCGGAAGACCAAGGGUUCCUGUCCAACGUUAAUCGGGGCAGGGUGAGUCGACCCCUAAGGCGAGGCCGAAAGGCGUAGUCGAUGGGAAACAGGUUAAUAUUCCUGUACUUGGUGUUACUGCGAAGGGGGGACGGAGAAGGCUAUGUUGGCCGGGCGACGGUUGUCCCGGUUUAAGCGUGUAGGCUGGUUUUCCAGGCAAAUCCGGAAAAUCAAGGCUGAGGCGUGAUGACGAGGCACUACGGUGCUGAAGCAACAAAUGCCCUGCUUCCAGGAAAAGCCUCUAAGCAUCAGGUAACAUCAAAUCGUACCCCAAACCGACACAGGUGGUCAGGUAGAGAAUACCAAGGCGCUUGAGAGAACUCGGGUGAAGGAACUAGGCAAAAUGGUGCCGUAACUUCGGGAGAAGGCACGCUGAUAUGUAGGUGAAGUCCCUCGCGGAUGGAGCUGAAAUCAGUCGAAGAUACCAGCUGGCUGCAACUGUUUAUUAAAAACACAGCACUGUGCAAACACGAAAGUGGACGUAUACGGUGUGACGCCUGCCCGGUGCCGGAAGGUUAAUUGAUGGGGUCAGCGCAAGCGAAGCUCUUGAUCGAAGCCCCGGUAAACGGCGGCCGUAACUAUAACGGUCCUAAGGUAGCGAAAUUCCUUGUCGGGUAAGUUCCGACCUGCACGAAUGGCGUAAUGAUGGCCAGGCUGUCUCCACCCGAGACUCAGUGAAAUUGAACUCGCUGUGAAGAUGCAGUGUACCCGCGGCAAGACGGAAAGACCCCGUGAACCUUUACUAUAGCUUGACACUGAACAUUGAGCCUUGAUGUGUAGGAUAGGUGGGAGGCUUUGAAGUGUGGACGCCAGUCUGCAUGGAGCCGACCUUGAAAUACCACCCUUUAAUGUUUGAUGUUCUAACGUGGACCCGUAAUCCGGGUUGCGGACAGUGUCUGGUGGGUAGUUUGACUGGGGCGGUCUCCUCCUAAAGAGUAACGGAGGAGCACGAAGGUUGGCUAAUCCUGGUCGGACAUCAGGAGGUUAGUGCAAUGGCAUAAGCCAGCUUGACUGCGAGCGUGACGGCGCGAGCAGGUGCGAAAGCAGGUCAUAGUGAUCCGGUGGUUCUGAAUGGAAGGGCCAUCGCUCAACGGAUAAAAGGUACUCCGGGGAUAACAGGCUGAUACCGCCCAAGAGUUCAUAUCGACGGCGGUGUUUGGCACCUCGAUGUCGGCUCAUCACAUCCUGGGGCUGAAGUAGGUCCCAAGGGUAUGGCUGUUCGCCAUUUAAAGUGGUACGCGAGCUGGGUUUAGAACGUCGUGAGACAGUUCGGUCCCUAUCUGCCGUGGGCGCUGGAGAACUGAGGGGGGCUGCUCCUAGUACGAGAGGACCGGAGUGGACGCAUCACUGGUGUUCGGGUUGUCAUGCCAAUGGCACUGCCCGGUAGCUAAAUGCGGAAGAGAUAAGUGCUGAAAGCAUCUAAGCACGAAACUUGCCCCGAGAUGAGUUCUCCCUGACUCCUUGAGAGUCCUGAAGGAACGUUGAAGACGACGACGUUGAUAGGCCGGGUGUGUAAGCGCAGCGAUGCGUUGAGCUAACCGGUACUAAUGAACCGUGAGGCUUAACCUUACAACGCCGAAG
rnacentral:rRNA from 1 species